rnacentral:rRNA from 1 species
GGGUGCGACCAUACCAGCACUAACGCACCGGAUCCCAUCAGAACUCCGAAGUUAAGCGUGCUUGGGCGAGAGUAGUACUAGGAUGGGUGACCCCCUGGGAAGUCCUCGUGUUGCAUCCCUUU